UGGGAGGGGGAGGGACGCACACUCUGUAAACAGGAAUAGGUGCAUCACCGGUCACUGAGCUGGCAAGCUAAAGUUAGCUAGUUAGUCACAUAAAUGUACGUUCAGCCUUUAAGUAUUUAUCUUACGAAGUCAGCAUGGCUUAACAUAGUUUAUUUAGUUUUUGACCUCGAGAUUAUUGCUGGAUAGAUACUUUCAUAUCUAACAUGCUGGCGAUGCUAGCUAGCUAAUGCUAACGGCGCUAGCUAACCUCAUAUCUGGUUUCCUCACUCUAGUCCUAUUUGAUUUAUCUUACGAACCCAGCAUGGCUUAACACAGUUUCUUUCUUCUUUGACCUCGACAUUGUUGCUGGAUAGAUACUUUCAUACCUAACAUGCUGUCGCUGCUAGCUAGCUAAUGCUAACGGCGCUAGCUAACCUCAUAUCUGGAUGCCUCACUCUAGUUCCCGAGAGAGCAGCAUACUGGUAAGUCAACUUUGCUUUCAAACUUUGUAAUCAUCUGUAAAGUUGUUUUACAUGCAAUCAUACAAGCUAGAUAGAUAGAUACAUGUUUUGUUAAAAAACCUGAUGUCAUUUAUUGGUUGUUUCUUUGGAGCUAGCUAUCACUAACUAGCUAGGUGGAUAAUAAUGUAAUGUACAGUUGUCUACAGUAACGUUACAGUAUACUAUAGCCUUGUUACACCUAGUUGGCUAGUUGGUUGAUAUGGGUGUAGUAGGCUAGCGUCGAUGUUAGCUUAUUUUACCUAGUCAAAAAUAACAUAAUGGUUGUGUGCACUCUCACUGGAUACAAUUGUGUGGUUUGGUUGCAGAUUUUCUAAAGAAAAUAGACAUAUACAGUAUAUGAUCAGCAAUUCUCAAUCAGUUGAGAUACACAGCGAACCCAUGAUGAAGUUCAUUCAUAAAUGUGGACACUAAUUAUUGUUAAUAUUCCAAUUCUCUAGGCCCUACAUUCCCAAACCUGAAGCCCCCUGUACCCAGUAGGAAAGACCAGGGAAAAGUGUUAGUUUAAGUAAUUUUUCCCAGGCUAAUCACCGAAUGGCCUACUACAAGGGUGUGGUCAGGGUGUGGUCGCAAUAACAUCAGCGACAGCCCCGAAACCUGAAGGAUCUGGAGAAGGUCUGUUUGGAGGAGUGGG